GGAUGGGUGGGUGAGUAGAUGGGUGUGUGGUUAGAUGGAUGGAUGGGUAAGUAGACCCCUGCUGGAUCUCCAGUCUCUGGGUCUCAUCCCUGUUUUGAACUCUGAGCUAUUGGAAAAGGCACACAAGCUCAUGACCAUGAGAACUAGAAACAUUUUUGUUUUCUUUUGUUUCUGGUCCUUUUUUAUGACCCUGCCACCUCACCAUGCAAUUAUUUGCACGAUGAGACCCUAAAAGCUGCCAAAUUUCACUCAAUUCGGUUAAAUGUUUUCGAGGCGGUUGGCAUUGUCUUUGAAUCUCAGACAUUCCCACGGCCCAGAUCCUAUUUAAAAACUGCCUAUCUAUUUAAAGUUCAUCAUGGGGGCACUGAAAGAAAAAGGACUCCCAAAGCCAAAGCCAACGGGAACAUGAGAUAGGGAAAGGAAAAAUCCAGCUUGCUUCUAAAAAAAGGCUGAAAAUUAUAACCAUCCACAGCCAUGUGUCUCAAGCCUCAGAGUUGUUUUUUUUUUCCUCUUUGGUUGUUUGCAAACCAGAGAGGAAUUUUGUGAUGGGUUACUGAGGGAUUCCAUUCAGUUCCUGAAGUCUCUGCCUGCUCACUAGACUGCCACUUGGUUUCCUCAGUCCAAAUCAAGCAGCUGGCAUAUCUCUCUGAGCUGUGUCUGUAGUCCCAGAUGGCAGCUUAUCCACAGCUCUGGCCAGAGACCCGGCUCCGUGACCUGGCCCCUUUUAGGAACAACAGAGCCCAUGAAAGCAGCAGGCAUUGGAAAGCUAUUCACUGCAGGAAGCCCCAGCAUCCGGUGAGAAACAAGAAGUAGGAGGCACAGGAUGUGCCUUGGGUCAGGGGGACAAGAGCGGCAGCAGUCUCCGUGUCAGAGCUCCUGGGGCUCGGCACUCAGUGCCCCUGGGAGCACAGCUGGGAGCUGGAGUGCAGGCUCCUGUUGUCACUGCAGUCACUGAGGGGUUUCUGGCCUCCUGAGAGGGGGACUUAGAGGCAGAAUGGCCAGCCCCAGGGACCUGCUUCUGCUGCUGCUCCUGGGCCAGCCCUGGGUGGGGGCUGCUGCCCACACCACAGAGGCUGACGCAGCGGAGGCUGUGGUGUGUGGAGGGACUGCCUGCUACACGGCCCACUGGGGCAAGCUGAGCGCGGCUGAAGCCCAGGGCGUCUGUAGCCAGAACGGGGAAACCUGGCCACGGUAAAGACCAAGGAGGAGGCCCGACUCAUUCAGCACGCCUUGGCCCAGCUCCUGAAGCCGAGGGCGCCCCUGGCAGCGAGGAUGGGCAAGUUCUGGGUGGGGCUCCAGCGGGAGAAGGGCAAGUGCUUGGACCCUGAGCUGCCACUGAAAGGCUUCAGCUGGGUGGGUGGCGGGAGGACACAGAGUAUGCAAAUUGGCACAAAGAAGAGCUCAAGAGCUCCUGCGUCUCCAAGCGCUGUGUGGCUCUGCCACUGGACCUGUCCCAGAACCCCCACCCAGACCGCCUCCCCAAAUGGUUUGAAGGCCCCUGCGGAUCAUCAGGCAACCCAGGAGGCAACACCGAGGGGUUUGUGUGCAAGUUCAGCUUCAAAGGCAUGUGCCGGCCCCUGGCCCUGGGUGGCCCAGGCCAGGUGAACUACAGCACCCCUUUCAGGGCCACCACCUCCUCACUGGAUGCUGUGCCCUUUGGUUCUUUGGCCAGCGUGGCCUGCGAAGCUGGGGCUGAGAAUCAGGGCUAUGAACUGCUGUGCAGGGAGAAGAUGAUAGAGGUGUUUGACUGGGGCAUUACCGGGCCCCUGUGUGUCAACCCUGAGUUGGGGUGCACCUUCAACAAUGGGGGCUGUGAGCAGGACUGCUUCGAGGGGGGGUUCUGGCUCUUUCCGCUGUGGCUGCCGGCCUGGCUUCCCGGCUGCGGGACGACCUGGUGUCCCUGCGCUUGAGGAACCCGUGCAGCUCUAGCCCCUGCAAGGGGGAGGCCACCUGCGUCUCCAGGCCCCACGAGGACACCUACACAUGCCUCUGCCCCCGUGGCUACCAGCUGGAUGCAAGACAGCAGGGCUGUGUAGAUGUGGACGAGUGCCACGACACACCUUGUGCCCAAGGCUGUGUCAAUACAGCUGGGGGCUUCCACUGUGAGUGCUGGCCGGGCUACACAGCUGGUGGCCCUGGGGAGGAGGCCUGUGUGGAUGUGGGACGGUGUGCUCUCAACCUUGCGCCCUGUGCCCAAGACUGCACUAACACCGCCGGCUCCUUCCACUGCUCCUGCCAGCCGGCUAUGUCCUGUCAGGGGAGGACGCCACCCAGUGUGAGGACAAGGACGAGUGCGCUGACCCCACGGGCAGCCCCUGCCCAGGCCUGUGCUCCAACGUGCAGGGCUCCUUCCACUGUGGCUGCCUGGUAGGCUUGAAGCUGGCCCCCGAUGGGCUCUCCUGUGUCCCAGACCAUGCGUCCACAGUGUCCUUGGCUGGGGUUCUGCCAGAGGAUGAGCAAGAUAGGAAGUGGGGCACCAUGUCUCCCGCCACCAUGUCUCCCUCCAUGCUCGGUCCCACCAGGGGCUCCGAGAGUUUCUCCACGGGUACACUCUCCACAGGAAGGUCCUCCUUGACCUCUGAUGUCCCUACCACCUCUGCCCACGCUAAAGUGUCAUCUCCCAGUGGGAGCCCUGGCCUUGGGACAGAGCAGGGCACCCCCUUGUCCAAAGCUGCUGCUGGCCAUAGCAAGCCAAUGGGUAAGGUCUCUGUGGCUGCUCCAAGUGAGGAUGGUGAGGACGGGCAAAGGCUGCUGCUGUUCUACAUCCUGGGCACGGUGGUGGCCAUCUCCCUCCUGCUGGCACUGGCCUUGGGGCUCCUGGUCUGUCGCAAGCGGAGAGCCAAGCGCGAGAUGAAAGAAAAGAAGCCGCAGAACGCAGCCGACAGUUACGCCUGGGUCCCCGAGCAGCCCGAGGGCCGAGAGAAUCAGUACAGUCCGACACCUGGGUCAGACUGCUGAAGGGAAGUGGCUCGAGGACAAGUCCAGUCAGCUGCCACCACCUUCGGAGUGAAGGGGAAGUCACACCCUCCCAAGCCUGGACUGGAAUUUUAGUACACGGUGGCAUGCCUUCCCCUUACGGCCUUUGACUUGAGAUGCAAAAGGUAUUUUCUCCACGUGGGUGAUAUUUUCUGCGAUGGAAGCUGUGUCCCCAUCACCAUGGGAACUUUGUGAACACUAAGGGUUCCUAUGAGCUCCUCCUUUUCAAAUUCAAAUGCAGCUGACUUCCUUUCUCCCCUGGUUCUGGUCAGGCCAGGGCCCAGUGCCAAGGGCUCCCUUCAUGCCCUGCCCUCUCCCUUUCCUCUAGAGCAGAGGGUGGCGGCUGGUGCUGUUAGCACUGAUGGGUUUGUGCCUCUCCCGGAGAGGGCAGCUGGGUCCUUUGAUGAUCUGACUGUACGAGAAACUCUGUGCUGCCAAAGGAACUUGCUCAGACUGGAACCAGCUCUCCCCAUCUGCAUCUGCGCUUCCUUGCUCAGCCCCUCACUGCUGUGGAAGCCUUCAGAAUGGCAGGAAGUGGGAUCACCAGGAAGUAGAGAUCCACAUCCUCUGGUUCUUAAGUUUCUUGCUGUCUUGGAUUUAUUUGCAAGUAAAGUUGGAAAAAUAUGAGAAAAAUUGCGUGAAGGAGUGGAGGGCUUUGGUGUAAGCGUAAGACCUAAGGGCUGGGCAGGGCUUGCUUCCUCUGUACAGAUGGAGGUGAACAUGCUGGACUAUCGAAAAACCUGGGCAGCUCUGAGCGGCAUGGCCCCGUGUGGCCCCUGCUGUGGCUCCUGCAGCUCCCCUGGAUCAAGGAUAGGUGGGUGGGGCAGCAGGUGGGUCUGGGAAGCUGUGUUUUUAAAGCAUUUCAGCACGGGUCACAGGAGAACUUGUACCUGCUGGGACUCAGUCCCACAGGACGCUCAGGGUCCCCCUUUUCCCUCUUCACCUUAGUUAGGGCUGGGAAGGGAAGGGAGAGGGGAAGAGAGAAUAAUUAACACAUUUUGUAACACAUUCUCUGCUUGAGGUCAUUGUACCUGACACACUCAGUGUAAACUUCUUUUACAAAAAUCUCUGCUUGGGCAAAGCGCUCUCCACCUCACAGCCCAGCUUGACUGGAAAGCCGCCUCAGAAGCGAGGCUCGCUGUGAGACAAGCGCAUGGGUCUCCACCAAGACUUCCAGAUCUGGGCCUGGAGCCAUGCGCCCUCCCUGCGGUUCCUGUGUUACACGCGUCUCUCCCAGGAGUUGCCACCCUGGGGCUGGGGUGGACAGCAAUCCACAUCCACUGGGAUGUGGCCUUCGGAACUAAGUAAAUAUCCUUUGUCAGUGCUGAAAUGUGGGAAGUCUAAGCUGGGGGAGACACAGGCAAGAUGGGGGCUGUGCAGGCUUAAUAGGUGCUGGCAAUUUCUGCCUUUUAGUCAUCUUAUGUCCUCCAGGUUUCAAUUGGAGCUUUGGUUUUUAACUUAAUUUUAAUUGUGAAAUUUUUUGUGAUAUUUGGGGUUAAACCCAGGGCCUUUUCACUGAGCUACAUCCAAAUAUCUUGUUUUUUUUUUUUUUUGUCUGAGACAGGGUCUCACUAAGUGACUAAGUUGCCCAGGCUGGGCUUGAAUUUGCCAUCCUCCUGCCUCAGCCUCCCUCAGCCUCCUAGAGUGCUGAGAUCACAAGCUGGUUUUUAACUUUCCAGGGACCCAAGGCUGCAUCCAUUUGGCAAGAACCUCCACUGGCCACAGGACUCUUGGCAACCUGUUGAGACUGGCUGUCAUUUGCACAGAAACCAUCAGUGACCAUUCAGAGAUUUUAAAGGACACAGCAACAUUUGCACUUGAGAGAAAAAAAUGUGAGCAUGACACCUGUGCCCCUGGGCUGCCACAGUUCUGCCCUGGCACUUGGGGUGGAGGAGACAGUCCUCUUCCUGUGGCCCCUGUAUGCUCUGUGCAGACCCUGUGGGGGUCACUGCAGGUUCUCUUCAUGUCUCACACUGCUCAGCCCCCCUUUCUGGUCUCUAUUUAAAUUCUCCUGUUGGUGGCAACACGUGGCUUCAUCCCUAGGAUGCCCUGACCUUAGGAUGGCAGAUAAGGAAGGCAGUCCCCGCUGAUGACAGCAGCCCCUUCCUUUGUGGCGAGUGGAGCUCUUUUUCCAUUCCUAUUGAGAAGCCAGCGUCCGGGGUCUGGCCACCCCCUCAGACAGUGAAGCCUUAGACUAUCAGCUAUGGCUGAGCCCCCCGGGAACCCUCAGGAAAAGGGUAGUUUGUUGAUGGCCACCUGGCUGGUGAGUGUUUCCACUGCUGCAGCCUCUGAGCCCCCAAACUAAGAUCCUCACAUCUCAAGCUAGUGGCAGCAUAAAUGGGAGAAGGGAGAAAGCCUUUGAGGGACCGGAGAAGGCACACAUCACAGUUCACAGCAAUGUCACCUGCAUGAGUCUCACAGGGCUGGGGCUGAGGACAGGGAGCUGGGCUGUCCCCUGCUGCCUGCUGGGCAGGGCCCGUGACUCAGUGACAGAGCCAUACGUCUCCCUGGAGAUUCCCCUGCUACCUUCCCCUAUCAUGAGGGCAAAACUGUGGAGUAAAAAUGUGAACCACACCCAAGUGCUGCUGUAUCCACUGUGGCGAUGAGCCAUGCUGGGAAUGAAUUGGUUCCCUCUCAAAGGCACUGACUCUUUCCUUCCUAAGCAUCAGCCUUUGGCUGGGCCGAUUUUCACCAAACAGCCUUCCAGUUGAUGGACGAAAUCACCAGGUACUUCUUUCCAAGCCUCUUUGUCUAUAAAUAUUUCUGGGAAAACUAAGAGAACAGAUGAGAUUUAACAACAAAAAUAGUUACCAAAUUCAAAAUAACUCAGCUUUUAAAAAUGCAAAUAUAGGAAAGCCUUUUCCUAUUAUUCAUCUUACCUUCUCCAUUGUCUGAGUUUGGAAAACAGGAAAACCCUGCUUUCUAGCACCCGCUGAAUGGUUUCAUGGCCCUGCAUAUUUCCAUCACCUUGAACAAUAGUGCAGCAUGGGACUCUAAAUAUGAUCCCUGAAAACAGCUGUCUCUUCUAUGGCUCCAAAACACACCUAAGUCAGCGUGGUCUGUGGAGCUGGUCAGUGAGACAAAGAGGGCAAUGAUCCAAAAUCUCCAAGUAUUCAGUAAUCAAAGGCCUCAUUCACUCCGGUUUCCCAAGACAGACACUAACAGAAAGGCUGGUUUAAAACACGGUGUGCCCCUGCCCUGCCCUGGAGAGAGUGCCCGCUCCUCCUGUCUCCCAUCUGGGACAUGGUGAUUCAUGGUCCUUUUCAGAUUUGCUGAGGGUCUGCAGAUUGGGCUUCAGUGUGAAUUAGACAACAGUCAAGGUUUGUUCUGUGAUGUGGUAUGGAAUGUAAGUGUUUGCAAUUGCUUCCUGAACCCAAAAUGAGAAUGUAAAUGUUCAAAAAUAUGUGUAUUUGAAGUGUGAUUGGCUAAUUCUGGACUUGCAGGGUUUCUGAGCAGCACUGGUUUGCUUCCUGGGUAAACGUUUCCCAGGCGUGGUGGUGCGUGGGGGCGUUACUGAGGCUCCAACCAAAGGUCCUGCCAAGUGUGGCUAUUUCACAUGGAGCUUUCUGUUAUUCAUCUAUGCUAAUAAACUCCAGAACUCAUUUGUUAGGAGCUUGUUUUUACACAAUGCCUGACACCUCAAAAUAUAUGGUGAACUUGUUUCACAAGUAUUAAACAUCUAUUUCCCAUUUCCAAGAGUUACAUUGAUGGCCACCUCUCUGCACCUUCACCCACUGGAAGUGACACAAGUGUGGGCUAUGCCCUCCACCUGGCACACUGUCCUUGGGGGCAGAGGGUCCAGGGUGACCACUAUCCAUGGCAGCAGAGACCAGGCCUGCCCCAGGGCUUCCAAAUUCAGCACCACCAUCUGGCAGCCACUCCCUUGUCCCUCCUUCCUUUCAUCGCCCUUAAUUCCCUGCAUCUUUUUAAUUGCAUGGCAGCCACGAGGGGUGCAGGAUUAAGCAGUGUGAUGGGUGUGAGUUGGAAACACCGCUCCAUAAUUAUCACAGGGCAUUUAUCACCGCUUUGUCAGCAGAGCUUGCUCCGUUUGUUUAACUAAUUGGACCGGCAGCCUGGCUCUGCUGCUCGGCUGCACAAAUCUCACUGUGAUUCAAACUGGGGACAGCAGAUGGUGACAAUGCCAGCUGCCUGCUCUGUGGACCAUGUGCAUGGUAAAGAACAGGGCUUAGGAGGGAUGAAGGCUCUGCUGUUAGGCUAAUGCCUGGGACACUUGCGGCAGCCGUUGUUAUUCAGGGCUCAGCAGAGCUGGUCCCCAGGGAGGGCCAGGAGCUGACAAGACACGCUGGGAAUGUGUGCCUCCCGUGGACACUGUGGCUGCCUCUCAGUGCACACAUGUGUCCGCACUCCCAAAUGUGUUUCUAUAAACACACACAAACGUGCUUCCACAAGCACAUACAACACACAAACACAAAUGUGCUUCCACAAAUACAGAAAUCCAUGCAACAUGCACACAUACAAUACACACACAAACACAAAGGUGGUUCCACAAGCACAUACAUAUGCCCACAAACACACAACACACACAAUCGUGCUUCCACAAGCAUACACAACACACAAACACAAAUAUGCUUUCACAAACACACACUCAGAAACACAGACAUGCUUCCACAAACACACAAACACAUACAACACACACAAACACAAAUGUACUUUUAUAAACACACAUACAUACACAAAUACAAACAUGCUUCCACAAACACACAAAACCAUACAACACACAAAUGCAAACAUACUUCCACAAACACACAACACACAUAUACAAUGCACACACAAACACAAAGGUGCCUCCGCCAGCACACACAUACACCCACACGCAUACAACACACAGACAUAUGUGUGCAAACAUAUGCAUGUGCAUGCGCACGCUCAGAAAUGUGCUUCCACAAACACACACCCAUAAACAAACACGCUUCCACAAACAUACAACACACAAACACAAACGUAGUUCUACAAACACACAUCCAGAAACACAAACAGAACAUUCACAUAUAGACACACAAGUCAAAAACACACUGACACACACCCUAAAUCAGAUAUAACAAUACACAUAACAUGUAUUUAUAAACAUUCACAGAUACACACAAACUCACAAACACGCAUCCCUAUCACACAGGCACACGCACACAGACACAAUUCUAAUGUCUGUCUGGUACUGCAAAGCCUCAGCCCAGUGUCUCCUGGUUUAGGAAAAGCCCACGAACCAAAGUGAAGCCUUUUGGGUAAGUCCCCUUGGCUGGUCCAAGUGCUGUCUCCUAAGCAGCAAUUCUCCACGCUGGGAGAAUCCUUCUGUGAUUUGAUUUGCUCAGCAAGGUCCAGCUUGCCUGGUCCCAUUGUCAAAUGAGCCAAGCACAUCUGUACGUGAACAUCACACAGGGGACACGGGCAUACAUGAUGAACAUCCUGUGGCCAGCGACAGGCCCUGAUGAGCACAGCCAGUUCUGAGCCCUGAGAUGAUUCAGUGACAGGGCAGAGAGAGCAGCAGAGAAAACAAACCCCAACCAAAGAAACCUCAGAUCAGCCUCUCCCUGGGUUAUACACUGACACCACAGCAUAAGUGACAGGGUGGGUAGCACUCACACAACCUUAAUCCCAGCAUCAUAGAUUCUAGGUCCAGCCACCUCCGAAAAAGCCUCACCUAUGACUGUAUGAGGCUUUGGGGAGACAUCUAGACACAAGCCAUAACAUUCCACCCUUGGCCCCCCAAAGACUCAUGUACGUCCCUUUAAGCAAAAGGCAUACAGUCCGUCUCCAAGACUUGUCAAAGUCCUAACAGUUUCAGCAUUGCUGAAAAGUCCAAGUCCAAAGUCUCCUCUGACAUUUAAGGGCAACUCAGCUGUGAGCUCCUGUACAAAAGAAAGGAAAGUUAAACACUUCCAACAUUCAAUGGCACAAGAGAGAUAUUAUCAUUCCAAAAGGCACAAAUAAGAGGAUACAAAGGAAUGGGACCAAAGCAAGCCCAAAAUCCAGCAGGACAAACAUUAAGUCCUGUAGUUCCAUAUCCAGCAUUGAAGGCAAUCUGUGGCAAGAUGUGAACUCCAAAGAGCUUGGGUGCUUCAGCCCCUACUGUACUUCCAGUGGUGGUAGCUCCCACGGCUUCUCUCUUAGACUGGCUCUGCUCCCUCCCUGCAGCUUUCCUCAGAAGAUCCACAUUCUUGGCUUCUCCAAACUUCUGGGAUCUCCACUGCACCUUCAGCUUCACACUCACAGCUUUACACACUGCCUUGUCAAAGGCACACUGCCUGGCCUCCCAGGCUUUCUUCUGAAAUCUGGGUGGAAGCCUUCCUGACC
ensembl:lncRNA